rnacentral:rRNA from 1 species
UACGAAGGGGGCUAGCGUUGCUCGGAAUCACUGGGCGUAAAGGGUGCGUAGGCGGGUCUUUAAGUCAGAGGUGAAAUCCUGGAGCUCAACUCCAGAACUGCCUUUGAUACUGAGGAUCUUGAGUUCGGGAGAGGUAAGUGGAACUGCGAGUGUAGAGGUGAAAUUCGUAGAUAUUCGCAAGAACACCAGUGGCGAAGGCGGCUUACUGGUCCGGUUCUGACGCUGAGGCGCGAAAGCGUGGGGAGCAAACAGG